rnacentral:rRNA from 1 species
GUCCACGCCGUAAAACGAUGAAUGCCAGUCGUCGGGUAGCAUGCUAUUCGGUUACACACCUAACGGAUUAAGCAUUCCGCCUGGGGAGUACGGCCGCAAGGUUAAAACUCAAAAGGAAUUGACGGGGGCCCGCACAAGCGGUGGAGCAUGUGGUUUAAUUCGAAGCAACGCGCAGAACCCUUACCAACCCUUGACAUGGGUAUCGCGGGACCAGAGAUGGUCCUUUCAGUUCGGCUGGAUACCACACAGGUGCUGCAUGGCUGUCGU